GCUCAGGAUGAACGCUGGCGGCGUGCUUAACACAUGCAAGUCGAACGAAGCAUUUAGAACAGAUUAUUUCGGUAUGAAGUUUUUUAUGACUGAGUGGCGGACGGGUGAGUAACGCGUGGGUAAUCUGCCUUGUACUGGGGGAUAGCAGCUGGAAACGGCUGGUAAUACCGCAUAAGCGCACAAUGUUGCAUGACAUGGUGUGAAAAACUCCGGUGGUAUAAGAUGGACCCGCGUCUGAUUAGCUAGUUGGUGAGAUAACAGCCCACCAAGGCGACGAUCAGUAGCCGACCUGAGAGGGUGACCGGCCACAUUGGGACUGAGACACGGCCCAGACUCCUACGGGAGGCAGCAGUA
rnacentral:rRNA from 1 species